GGAUCAUUAGUUCAAUGGUAGAACAUUCGCCUCAUAAGCGAAAUGCCACAGGUUCGAUUCCUGUAUGAUCCA
rnacentral:tRNA from 2 species